GUGCUCACUUUGACAGUACAUAUACUAAAACUGGAAUGAUACAGAGAAGAUUAAAACGGUCCCUGCCCAAGAAUGACAUGCAAAUUCAUAGUGUUUGACAGGUUUCU